GGCGGAGGGUGCAAGCGUUGUUCGGAUUGACUGGGCGUAAAGGGCGUGUAGGCGGUCGGUCAAGUCUGGUGUGAAAGCCCGGGGCUCAGCUCCGGAAGUGCAUCGGAAACUAGCUGGCUGGAGCGCGAUAGAGGAGGGCGGAAUUCCUGGUGUAGCGGUGAAAUGCGUAGAUAUCAGGAGGAACACCGGCGGCGAAGGCGGCCCUCUGGAUCGUUGCUGACGCUGAGACGCCGAAAGCGUGGGAGGCAAACAGGAU
rnacentral:rRNA from 1 species